rnacentral:misc_RNA from 2 species
CCAAUAGCGUAUAUUAGUGUUGUUGCGGUUAAAAAGCUCGUAGUUGAAUUUCGGGAUUGGGAUAUAUCGGUCGUGCCUUUAGGGGCAUGAAACGGUGUGUAGCCAAUUUCUCACCUUCUGGUGAGUCGGGAUGCUCUUGGGUGUUUCGAUGAACCAGGACAUUUACUUUGAAAAAAUUAGAGUGUUUAAAGCGGGCAUUUUUGCUUGAAUACAUUAGCAUGGAAUAAUAAAAUAGGACGAUGGUUCUAUUUUGUUGGUUUUAGGACUACGUAAUGAUUAAUAGGGAUAGUUGGGGGCAUUAGUAUUCAAUUGUCAGAGGUGAAAUUCUUGGAUUUAUUGAGGACUAACUACUGCGAAAGCAUUUGCCAAGGAUGUUUUCAUUAAUCAAGAACGAAAGUUAGGGGAUCAAAGACGAUUUAUGUACGUCGUAGUCUUAACCAUAAACUAUGCCGACUAGGAAUCAGACAAAGUUCAUUUUUUAACGACUUGUUUGGUACCUUACG